GAUGAAGAACGCAGCGAAAUGCGAUAAGUAAUGUGAAUUGCAGAAUUCAGUGAAUCAUCGAAUCUUUGAACGCACUUUGCGCCCGCCAGUAUUCUGGCGGGCAUGCCUGUUCGAGCGUCAUUACAACCCUCAGGCCCCCGGGCCUGGCGUUGGGGAUCGGCGGAGCCCCCCGUGGGCACACGCCGUCCCCCAAAUACAGUGGCGGUCCCGCCGCAGCUUCCAUCGCGUAGUAGCUAACACCUCGCGACUGGAGAGCGGCGCGGCCACGCCGUAAAACACCCAACUCUUCUGAAGUUGACCUCGAAUCAGGUAGGAAUACCCGCUGAACUUAAGCAUAUCAAUAAGCGGAGGA
rnacentral:misc_RNA from 1 species